CCGUGGGUUCAAUGUGGACACCUGCUGAAUCAUCAUCGGCAGCUCGGAGGACGACGCGUCUCCACUUCCUCCCGCUGAGACGUCACCUGGAGCCAGAGUCUGUGCAGCAGUGAUGGCGGAGCGGCGCCGCCGUACUGAGGUCCCACCCGCGCAUGCGCUUGACCAAUCACAAAUGUGACCCCGGGGAUGCAGUGCGGGAUAUGUAUUCUCCAGCCAAAGUCAAUCUGCCACCGCGUAACCAGGACGGAUGGAAGAAGAGGAGAGAGAGAGAGUCAGUCAGUGAGGGCGUCGGCAUGGCACACCGUCCCUCAGGCGACAGGACCCAUCUGCCAGCCAAAACAGAGACACUGGUCGGAGAAACUCUGGCACUGACGGCCACAAACACGGCUCACCUGAAUUCUCCACCUCCCUCCUUUCAUGAGCCUUUCCUUCCCUACGU